GCCCAAUCUGCAACGAAAAUGAUUAUAAACAAGUUACACACCAACAUUCGGCUACCACUUCCCGAUUGAUUAAAUUCUUCAGCAACUCCAAAACUCAACCUCAAAUGGAUUAGAGCCCGUAGUGUUGUAUGAUACGUAGUACGUACACGCCUGUAUGUUGUACGUACAUUCGACGGUGGUAGUGGUUCCGAGAAAUGGAGAACUACAUGCCAAGUGGAAUUACAUGUGAAACAAGUACGUUCGUCAUAAUGCAGCGGCUGUUGCUUCGCUUAUUGCAUCUACCUAACGUCUACUGGGCUGCCUUUCUUGAAUUCUUCUGUAAAGUUUGAAUAACAUGAGAAUUUACGACCCCUACAUAGCUAUGAGGACACAUAUUUGCAGUUUGCUGCAAAAGAUCAUUAUAAAACACUUCCAGAUAAAAUUUCACAUGAUAUUUUGAGCUUCCAUCUUACCAUGAACUUUUCAAUAAUCUGUUCAAAGCAAAUCACAGUUAUAUGUAUGUACGUAGCUAUUUAUAAUAAAUAUUACGAAUGGCGCUUUGAUGAUGAUUGCAAUGACCAUAUCAAAAUCGAACAAGUGUUAGCCACUUUACAUAACUUUGAAUAAAAAUUUAGUAAGUUAUUGACACACUU